GGGGUUGUGGCUCAGCGGUAGAGCACUCACCUAGUGUGUGGGAGGCCCUGGGUUCCAUCCUCAGCACUACA
rnacentral:tRNA from 1 species